UGAGGAAUAUUGCACAAUGGGCGCAAGUCUGAUGCAGCAACGCCGCGUGCGGGACGAAGGCCUUCGGGUCGUAAACCGCUUUUCUGGGGGAAGAGCAAGGACGGUACCUCAGGAAUAAGUCUCGGCUAACUACGUGCCAGCAGCCGCGGUAAAACGUAGGAGGCGAGCGUUAUCCGGAUUUACUGGGCGUAAAGCGCACGCAGGCGGCUCUGUUAGUCGGACGUGAAAGCUCUCGGCUUAACCGGGAGAGGCCGUUCGAUACUGCGGGGCUUGAGGUAGGGAGAGGAAUGCGGAAUUCCCGGUGUAGUGGUGGAAUGCGUAGAUAUCGGGAGGAACACCUGUGGCGAAAGCGGCAUUCUGGCCCUCACCUGACGCUGAGGUGCGAAAGCGUGGGGAGCAAACA
rnacentral:rRNA from 1 species